UCUCUGGUGGUUCAGUGGCUAAGACUCUGCACUCCCAAUGCAGGGGGCCUGGGUUUGAUCCCUGGUCAGAGAA
rnacentral:tRNA from 1 species